AAACUGAACUCUUUCCUUUAGUCAGCAUUAUGGUUUUAAACCCUAAACUGAACUUUUUCCAUUCAGUCAGCAUUAGGGUUUUAAACCCUAAACUGAAAUCUUUCCUUUAGUCAACAUUAUUGUUUUAAACCCUAAACUGAACUUUUUCCAUUCAGUCAGUAUUAGGGUUUUAAACCCUAAACUUAACUCUUUCCUUUAGUCAGCAUUAGGGUUUUAAACUGUAAACUGAACUUUUUCCAUUCAGUCAGCAUUAAGGUUUUAAACCCUAAACUGAAAUCUUUCCUUUAGUAAGCAUUAGGGUUUUAAACCCUAAACUGAACUUUUUCCAUUCAGUCAGUAUUAGGGUUUUAAACCGUAAACUGAACUUUUUCCCUUUAGUCAGCAUUAGGGUUUUAAACCCUAAACUAAACUCUUUCCUUUAGUCAGCAUUAUGGUUUUAAACCCUAAACUGAACUUUUUUCCAUUCAGUCAGCAUUAGGGUUUUAAACCCUAAACUGAACUCUUUCCUUUAGUCAGCAUUAGGGUUUUAAACCCUAAACUGAACUCUUCCAUUUAGUCAGCAUUAGGGUUUUAAACCCUAAACUGAACUAUUUCCAUUCAGUCAGCAUUAGGGUUUUAAACCCUAAACUGAACUCUUUCCUUUAGUCAGUAUUAGGGUUUUAAACCCUGAACUGAACUCUUUCCAUUCAGUCAGCAUUAGGGUUUUAAACCCUAAACUGAACUUUUUCCAUGUAGUCAGCAUUAGGGUUUUAAACCCUAAACUGAACUUUUUCCAUUCAGUCAGCAUUAGGGUUUUAAACCCUAAACUGAACUUUUUCCCUUCAGUCAGCAUUAGGGUUUUAAACCCUAAACUGAAUUCUU
rnacentral:lncRNA from 1 species